GAUGAACGCUGGCGGCGUGCCUAAUACAUGCAAGUCGAGCGAACGGACGAGAAGCUUGCUUUUCUGAUGUUAGCGGCGGACGGGUGAGUAACACGUGGAUAACCUACCUAUAAGACUGGGAUAACUUCGGGAAACCGGAGCUAAUACCGGAUAAUAUUUUGAACCGCAUGGUUCAAAAGUGAAAGACGGUCUUGCUGUCACUUAUAGAUGGAUCCGCGCUGCAUUAGCUAGUUGGUAAGGUAACGGCUUACCAAGGCAACGAUGCAUAGCCGACCUGAGAGGGUGAUCGGCCACACUGGAACUGAGACACUGUCCAGACUCCUACGGGAGGCAGCAGUAGGGAAUCUUCCGCAAAGGGCGAAAGCCUGACGGAGCAACGCCGCGUGAGUGAUGAAGGUCUUCGGAUCGUAAAACUCUGUUAUUAGGGAAGAACAUAUGUGUAAGUAACUGUGCACAUCUUGACGGUACCUAAUCAGAAAGCCACGGCUAACUACGUG
rnacentral:rRNA from 1 species